AUAAGAAGCCAGGUCCUGAAAUAUCAAAUGGGUGGGAAAGAAGGUUGCCCGAGACAUUACACUAGCUUAAGAGGUGGAGGCGGAGACGUUACGCUACCGCUAAGAGGUGGAGGUGGAGACGUUACGCUGGCGUAAGAGGUGGCGGUGGAGACGCUACGCUGGCGUAAGACGCGGCGGUGGAGACGCUACGCUGGCGUAAGAGGCGGCGGUGGAGACGCUACGCUGGCGUAAGAGGUGGCGGUGGAGACGUUUCGCUGGCGUAAGAGGUGGAGGUGGAGACGUUACGCUGGCGUAAGAGGUGGAGGUGGAGCGUCCUUACUGCACAGGGUGUGGAGGGAAUGGCGUGGGCUCAGCUGGCUUUGUCAUCGGACACGCCGCAGGCUCAGUUUCUGCCUCUGUUUCCCACUAAGCUGUUUAGCACAGAAGAAGUUAUUUAACCACAUCUUUGGCCUCA
rnacentral:lncRNA from 10 species